UCCACUGUGUGGUUUGCCUUAAGUU
rnacentral:piRNA from 1 species